AACGAACGCUGGCGGCGUGCUUAACACAUGCAAGUCGAGCGAGAAAGGGGGGGGCAACUCCCCUGAGUAAAGCGGCGCACGGGUGAGUAACGCGUGGGUAACCUACCCCUCGGCGGGGGAUAACUACUCGAAAGGGUGGCUAAUACCGCAUGAGACCACGAGGUCCUCGGACCUUGAGGCCAAAGGCCGCACCGGCUUGCCGGUGCCGUCACCGGGGGAUGGGCCCGCGGCCGAUUAGCUAGUUGGCGAGGUAACGGCUCACCAAGGCUACGAUCGGUAGCUGGUCUGAGAGGAUGAUCAGCCACACUGGAACUGGAACACGGUCCAGACUCCUACGGGAGGCAGCAGUGAGGAAUAUUGCGCAAUGGGGGAAACCCUGACGCAGCAACGCCGCGUGGGUGAAGAAGGCCUUCGGGUCGUAAAGCCCUUUCGGACGGGACGAACGCUCCGUGGUGACAAGCCUCGGAGCCUGACGGUACCGUAAGAAGAAGCACCGGCUAACUCCGUGCCAGCCGCCGCCGUAACAC
rnacentral:rRNA from 1 species